GUCUUAGCUUCUGCUGGACAUAUACUAAAAUUGGAACGAUUGAGAGAAGAUAAGCAUGGCCCUUUAAGUCACUAUAAAAAUCAAUAAAAAAAAUAGCAUGGCCCCUGCGCAAGGAUGACAAUCAAGGCAUAGCAACGCCUAAAUGUAUG
rnacentral:snRNA from 2 species